rnacentral:rRNA from 1 species
GACGAACGCUGGCGGCGUGCUUAACACAUGCAAGUCGAACGGAAAGGCCCUGCUUUUGUGGGGUGCUCGAGUGGCGAACGGGUGAGUAACACGUGAGUAACCUGCCCUUGACUUUGGGAUAACUUCAGGAAACUGGGGCUAAUACCGGAUAGGAGCUCCUGCUGCAUGGUGGGGGUUGGAAAGUUUCGGCGGUUGGGGAUGGACGCGCGGCUUAUCAGCUUGUUGGUGGGGUAGUGGCUUACCAAGGCUUUGACGGGUAGCCGGCCUGAGAGGGUGACCGGCCACAUGGGGACUGAGAUACGGACCAGACUCCUACGGGAGGCAGCAGUGAGGAAUAUUGCACAGUGGGCGGAAGCCUGAUGCAGCAACGCCGCGUGCGGGAUGACGGCCUUCGGGUUGUAAACCGCUUUCGCCUGUGACGAAGCGUGAGUGACGGUAAUGGGUAAAGAAGCACCGGCUAACUACGUG